UGUUUAUAUACGUCUUCAAACAUCUUAUAUUAGAAAACCCAGAAUUUUCAUGAUCAUUUGAUUUUCAUAUCUUAUUGUUUAAUUUAAAAUCUUGCAAUUAUUGUCAACUUUUUUACAUAUAUAAAGAAAGGCGUUAUAAAAAAGGAGAUUCGAUAUGAUUGCCAAUGAGACAGCUCUCCACAAGAAACCAAAUGACACAGAAAUUAACAACUACAUGUCACUGUACGGCCUUCAACAAUGAGCAAAGCCCACACAGUUUUGACUCUAUAUUAAGUAAUAAUCUUACAAUCUAUGCUUUCUAAGAAAAGACCAUAGAUAUAAUUAUUCUAAAAUUCACGUAAAUGUGCUUUUCCCAAUCCUUUGAUACCGAUAUUGAAUUAUAAAAAUGAAAACAAGAU
rnacentral:lncRNA from 1 species